GCUGGGAGUGAAGCAUCACCAACUAUCAGAAAAGAUUAUCGGUUUAACUUAUCUCAAGAGAAGAGAAAUCUAGAGAAAGAAAUUUAGCGGCUACUCGAUGAUCGGAUCUGAAUAGCAGCCUAGAGAGAAGAAGAAUACUAAUAGCACUAAAGCUCUAGAAGAAAAGGAAUAGAGACUUUCGAGCAAAAGGGGUUUAAUCAAUGCAAGUGAGAAGAGAGGAGGAAAAAAGGAAAAAGAUUCUGAGGCAUGACACCUAGAAAAGAGAAGAAAACUUGACAAUAAGAGAAGAGUGGGUGUCGGCAACGACGUCAACAACACUGAAAAAAGGAAGAGAGAGGC
rnacentral:lncRNA from 1 species